GACGAACGCUGGCGGCGUGCCUAAUACAUGCAAGUUGAGCGCUGAAGGUUGGUACUUGUACCAACUGGAUGAGCAGCGAACGGGUGAGUAACGCGUGGGGAAUCUGCCUUUGAGCGGGGGACAACAUUUGGAAACGAAUGCUAAUACCGCAUAAAAACUUUAAACACAAGUUUUAAGUUUGAAAGAUGCAAUUGCAUCACUCAAAGAUGAUCCCGCGUUGUAUUAGCUAGUUGGUGAGGUAAAGGCUCACCAAGGCGAUGAUACAUAGCCGACCUGAGAGGGUGAUCGGCCACAUUGGGACUGAGACACCGCCCAAACUCCUACGGGAGGCAGCAGUAGGGAAUCUUCGGCAAUGGACGAAAGUCUGACCGAGCAACGCCGCGUGAGUGAAGAAGGUUUUCGGAUCGUAAAACUCUGUUGGUAGAGAAGAACGUUGGUGAGAGUGGAAAGCUCAUCAAGUGACGGUAACUACCCAGAAAGGGACGGCUAACUACGUG
rnacentral:rRNA from 1 species